AUUGAACGCUGGCGGCAGGCCUAACACAUGCAAGUCGAGCGAGCAGCGGACGGGUGCGUACUGUCUGGUAACCUGCCGGAUGGCUGGGCAUAACUACGGGAAACGGUAGCUAAUACCGCAUUCCAUCCGAUGUCCCCAGAUGGGAUUAGCUAGUAGGUGGGGUAAUGGCUCACCUGGGCGACGAUCCCUAGCUGGUCGGAGAGGCUGACCAGCCACACUGGAACUUAGACACGGUCCAGACUCCUACGGGAGGCAGCAGUGGGGAAUAUUGGACAAUGGGCGCAAGCCUGAUGCAGCCAUGCCGCGUGUGUGAAGAAGGUUUUCGGGUUGUAAAGCACUUUCAGUGGGGAGGCGGUAUCCGCCGAAGAAGCACCGGCUAACUCCGUGCCAGCAGCCGCGGUAAUUC
rnacentral:rRNA from 1 species